AUUGAACGCUGGCGACAUGCCUUACGCAUGCAAGUCGAACGGCAGCACGGGUGCUUGCACCUGGUGGCGAGUGGCGAACGGGUGAGUAAUACAUCGGAACAUGUCCUGUAGUGGGGGAUAGCCCGGCGAAAGCCGGAUUAAUACCGCAUACGAUCUACGGAUGAAAGCGGGGGGCCUUCGGGCCUCGCGCUAUAGGGUUGGCCGAUGGCUGAUUAGCUAGUUGGUGGGGUAAAGGCCUACCAAGGCGACGAUCAGUAGCUGGUCUGAGAGGACGACCAGUCACACUGGGACUGAGACACGGCCCAGACUCCUACGGGAGGCAGCAGUGGGGAAUUUUGGACAAUGGGCGAAAGCCUGAUCCAGCAAUGCCGCGUGUGUGAAGAAGGCCUUCGGGUUGUAAAGCACUUUUGUCCGGAAAGAAAUCCUUGGCCCUAAUACGGUCGGGGGAUGACGGUACCGGAAGAAUAAGCACCGGCUAACUACGUG
rnacentral:rRNA from 1 species